CCUACGGGUGGCAGCAGUGAGGAAUGUUGGUCAAUGGCCGGAAGGCUGAACCAGCCAAGUCGCGUGAGGGAGGAAUGCGCAGAGCGUCGCAGACCUCUUUUGUCGGGGGAUAAAAGGCCGGAUGCGUCCGGUCCUGAGGGUACCCGGAGAAAAAGCAUCGGCUAACUCCGUGCCAGCAGCCGCGGUAAUACGGAGGAUGCGAGCGUUAUCCGGAUUAAUUGGGUUUAAAGGGAGCGCAGGGGGGCCUUUAAGGCGGCGGUGAAAGCGGGGGGCCCAACCCCACCUAGCCGUCGGAACUGGGGGCCUUGAGUGCGGCGGAGGCAUGCGGAAUGCGCGGUGUAGCGGUGAAAUGCAUAGAUAUCGCGCAGAACCCCGAUUGCGAAGGCAGCGUGCCGUGCCGCCACUGACGCUGAGGCACGAAAGCGCGGGGAUCGAACAGGAUUAGAUACCCUGGUAGUC
rnacentral:rRNA from 1 species